rnacentral:rRNA from 1 species
UACGUAGGGGGCAAGCGUUGUCCGGAUUUAUUGGGCGUAAAGAGCGUGUAGGCGGCCUGACAAGUCUGCUGUGAAAACUCGAGGCUCAACCUCGAGAUGUCGGCGGAAACUGUCUGGCUAGAGUCCGGAAGAGGAGAGUGGAAUUCCUGGUGUAGCGGUGAAAUGCGCAGAUAUCAGGAGGAACACCAAUGGCGAAGGCAGCUCGCUGGGACGUGACUGACGCUGAGACGCGAAAGCGUGGGGAGCAAACAGG